UGGAUAUUAGUUAAAUAAUAACAUUUAAAUUGCAUUUAAAAAUUAUACAUAAACAUAUACAUAUAUAUCUAA
rnacentral:tRNA from 1 species